rnacentral:rRNA from 1 species
UACAGAGGUCUCAAGCGUUGUUCGGAUUCAUUGGGCGUAAAGGGUGCGUAGGUGGCGUGGUAAGUCUGGUGUGAAAUCCCGGGGCUCAACCCCGGAACUGCACUGGAUACUGCCAUGCUUGAGUACUGGAGAGGAGAUUGGAAUUUACGGUGUAGCAGUGAAAUGCGCAGAUAUCCGAAGGAACACCGGUGGCGAAGGCGGCUUCCCGGACCGACACUGACGCUGAGGCGCGAAAGCUAGGGGAGCAAACGGG